CCGGCUGAGAAGGCCUUCAGUUCAUUAACGACAUCCUCCGUCGAGCUCCCAUAAUUCCACGCUUCUCUCGCGCUACCUGCCGCGUACAAUCGGCGAGGGGAAAUAGCGAAGAAGAAAAAAGAAGAAGGAGAAAAAAGAAGAUGCACGGGCGUGAGAAGGGCAACAUUUUACGCAGUGCUAAAACAAAAGAGUCAGGAGGGAGCGAGAGAAUGGAGAGGUGAGAUGCCUUUUUUGUGAUGAGUGAAAAGCCAUUCACAGAAGCCUCUGCUGGAGCUCCAUCAGGACCAGGGAGCAGAGUAGAAAAUGGGGAGCACCAUGAAUGCAGCCGCAUGAUUGUGUAUAGGACGCCAUGAGAGCACAAAUGCUGGUAGAACAUCUCCUCUGAGAGCUGCAGCUGAAUGAGACCGGAGUCCUGCUGCCCCCUACAGAAUUACAACCAUCAGCUCACUAGAUGAUAUGUUGUUAUGUGCUCAUUUACAAACAAUGUAUUAGAGAAAACUGAAGUUAUUAGGUUUAAUUAGAAGCUGAAAUAAAUUAAAUUAAAUAAGCAUAAAUUAGAAACUGAAAUAUAUCAUAUAGGCUAGCAGUAUAAAUGAAAGCAC
ensembl:lncRNA